GAUAGGAAGUUACAAAGUCGGUAGCCAUGGGUUUACCGUAGGCAGUACCCUGCGGAAGGGAUCAUUAUUGCAUACUACGGGUAAAGGUUGUAGCUGGCCUCUCGGGGCAUGUGCACACCUGAGCCAUUUUCAUCCAUACACACCUGUGCACUCACUGUGCGGGCCCGUAACAAAGGCCCGCACGUCUUAUCACCUACUUUGCAUGUCUGAUUAGAAUGUGACCUUUGACGUCACCGCCUUAAAAAAGUGGUUGACGAAAACAAUACUUAAUACAACUUUCAACAACGGAUCUCUUGGCUCUCGCAUCGAUGAAGAACGCAGCGAAAUGACGAUAAGUAAUGUGAAUUGCAGAUUUUCAGUGAAUCAUCGAAUCUUUGAACGCACCUUGCGCUCCUUGGUAUUCCGAGGAGCAUGCCUGUUUGAGUGUCAUUAAAUUAUCAACCGCGAAAGGCUUUUUCUGGUCUUUCGGGGCUUGGAGUUGGAGGCUUUGCUGGCGUGAGUCGGCUCCUCUUAAAUGUAUCAGCGAAAUACAAACCUUUUGUUGGCUUUGGUGUGAUAAUCACGUAGCGCCGUCGCUUGAAGGUGUUAAAGAGUUUCGCUUAUAAUGGUCUUCGGACAAAUAAAACCAUUGAAUUUGACCUCAAAUCAGGUAGGACUACCCGCUGAACUUAAGCAUAUCAAUAAUGCGGAGGAAAAGAAACUAACAAGGAUUCCCCUAGUAACUGCGAGUGAAGCGGGAAAAGCUCAAAUAUAAAAUCUGGCGGUCUUGUGGCUGUCCGAGUUGUAAUCUGGAGAAGCGUUUAUAUCCGCGUGAGACCGUGUACAUGUCUUCUAGAGGGGAGCGUCAUAGAGGGUGAGACUCCCGUCUCAGACACAGACACCGAUGCUUGUGAGAUACGCUCUCGAGAGUCGAGUUGUUUGGUAUGCAGCUCAAAUUGGUGGUAGAGUCCAUCUACAGCUAUAUAUGGCGAGAGACCGAUAGCGAACAAGUACCGUGAGGCAGAGAUGAAAAGCACUUUGGCAAGAGAGUUAGACAGUACGUGAGAUUGUUGAAAGGGAGACGUUUGAAGUCAGUCGCGUCGGCCGAGACUCAGCCUCGCUUUUUCAGCUUGGUGCACUUCUCGGUUGACGGGUCAGCAUCAAUUUUGAUCGCCGGAAAAGGGCUGGGGGAAUGUGGCAUCUUUCGAGAUGUGUUAUAGCCCUCGGUUCGCAUACGGCGGUUGGGAUUGAGGAACUCAGCGCGCCUUUAUGGUCGAGGCUUUUGCCUACGCAACGCGCUUAGGAUGCUGGCAUAAUGGCUUUAAGCGACCCGUCUUGAAACACGGACCAAGGAGUCUAACAUGCCCGCGAGUGUUUGGGUGGCAAACCCGAGCGCGUAAUGAAAGUGAAAGUUGAGAUCCCUGUCGUGGGGAGCAUCGACGCCCGGACCUGACCUUCUGUGACGGAUCUGCGGUAGAGCGUGUAUGUUGGGACCCGAAAGAUGGUGAACUAUGCCUGAAUAGGGUGAAGCCAGAGGAAACUCUGGUGGAGGCUCGUAGCGAUUCUGACGUGCAAAUCGAUCGUCGAAUUUGGGUAUAGGGGCGAAAGACUAAUCGAACCAUCUAGUAGCUGGUUCCUGCCGAAGUUUCCCUCAGGAUAGCAGAAACUCGUAUCAGAUUUAUGUGGUAAAGCGAAUGAUUAGAGGCCUUGGGGUUGAAACAACCUUAACCUAUUCUCAAACUUUAAAUAUGUAAGAACGAGCCGUCUCUUAGUUGGACCGCUCGGCGAUUGAGAGUUUCUAGUGGGCCAUUUUUGGUAAGCAGAACUGGCGAUGCGGGAUGAACCGAACGUGAGGUUAAGGUGCCGGAAUUCACGCUCAUCAGACACCACAAAAGGUGUUGGUUCAUCUAGACAGCAGGACGGUGGCCAUGGAAGUCGGAACCCGCUAAGGAGUGUGUAACAACUCACCUGCCGAAUGAACUAGCCCUGAAAAUGGAUGGCGCUCAGCGUGAUACCCAUACCCCACAUAGCGUUGAAGGACCCGCGACCAGUAGCAAGCGUGAGGUCAGUGAAAACCCUGGCACAAUCGGGUGGACGGCCCUAGUC
rnacentral:rRNA from 1 species